CUGAAAUUCAAGCUGUAGCACAAACUGGCUUGAAGUUUGUCAGCCUUAAAAUUCAGCAUGCUAUUGUCUUGUGUGUGCAAACCGCAUACCUGUAUUGGAGAGGCCAGUGAUCAAUGGUUGAGCUGUGUAACCACUUUACUCUUCUCUUGUCCUCCAGAAACCCUGAAGUACUUCAUGAUAUUGGACACCAGUUUUUUUGGCUUUCCUGAGAUUGGACCUGACACGGGAGCCUUAGGGUGUCCAUCUCCGGUCCGCAAGCAGCAACUGCUGGACGAUAAAUUGCCGUCACCAGCAGAGGUCCCCCGCAGCUUGCUGCUGUCAGCGCAGCCGGCGACCUGAGAGGCGAAGGUGGAGCUGGGGAGCAUCCCUGCAUCUCCACGAAAUCAGGUUUUAUUCUGCUUGCAGUCUGCUGUGAGCAUUAUCCCAUGAAGGCCUUUCAGGAAAGUAGAAAUCAGCUUAUUACAAUACAUACAGUCAUUAAUAGAAGCAAAGGAAAUACACUGUUAUUAAUUUAUAGUGAUAUUUAAACAAAAGCUUUUUCUACUCUUCUUUCUUGUUGCUUGUUAUCAUAAAAUUCUUAGCAUAGUCAUAUCUUUAAUAAACUUUUAUAAUUAAAGGGACA
rnacentral:lncRNA from 1 species